AACAACCCUACAAUCAAGCACCAUAUUUAACUAUUAACUAUUUACUAUUUUUUUUUUUUGACAUCGAAAUAGAAUCUAAAGAAUACUCUGCAGCCGUUAGACUAGCUUCAGGGGCUAGCCAUAUGGGCGCAAAGACACUAACUGAGGGAUUUAGCUUGCGUAGUCGGCCACCUUUGGCGAGUCUGUCCACACAUGCAUUCUGUGAUCUUGGAAUAGCAGAUAUAGAGAAGCUUGAGAAAUCAGAGGAUAAUGCUUUAAUCUCGUCUAGCUCCGGCGCUAAGGCUGGCCAUUCCAUAUCGAUUAUGCCUUCUGCUUCCGCAUGGAGAGGUGAAACCGAGCUGAUGUUACCCUUGACCCCGAACAGGGUGGAUCUUCCAUCGUCAAGUAGCACAAAC